rnacentral:rRNA from 1 species
UGAACGCUAGCUACAGGCUUAACACAUGCAAGUCGAGGGGCAGCAUGUGGUUGCUGCAACCAAUGAUGGCGACCGGCGCACGGGUGAGUAACGCGUAUCCAACCUCCCCUUAGUAGAGGAUAGCCCGGCGAAAGUCGGAUUAAUACUCUAUGUUCUUCAAUGCGGGCAUCUAAGUUGAAGCAAAGAUUUAUCGCUAAGGGAUGGGGAUGCGUCUGAUUAGGUUGCAGGCGGGUAACGGCCCACCUGGCCUACGAUCAGUAGGGGUUCUGAGAGGAAGGUCCCCCACACUGGUACUGAGACACGGACCAGACUCCUACGGGAGGCAGCAGUGAGGAAUAUUGGUCAAUGGGCGCGAGCCUGAACCAGCCAAGUAGCGUGCCAGGACGACUGCCCUAUGGGUUGUAAACUGCUUUUAUCAGGGAAUAAAGUGAGGCACGCGUGCCUUUUUGUAUGUACCUGAUGAAUAAGGACCGGCUAAUUCCGUGCCAGCCGCGGC